CAGUAAAUCCCUCUAAAUCAUCACGGGUUUCAGCUUUCCCUCAGAGCUCAAGGUCCAGCUGCAGAGAGCGAGCUGAUGUCCACUCCGGCGGCGUUCCUGGACGAGCUCCCGGGAUGGUUCCUGUGGACGGGAGUCUUCUUCCCCGUGACGGCGCUCCUGCUGCUCCUCAUCGCUGUCCUCAGCUGGACACUCAGAGAGACAGAGGAAGAGCUGGCCGUGACCCCUGACCCCUGGCACACACACUAUCAGCUGUGUUACGAGCCCCGCUGCAGACACAGGACACAGAGGACAAGACCAGCGUGAUGACCGCAGCAGAGACCUGUGUGUGACCACAGCGAGUAUCCUACUUUCAGCUCCAUCAGAAACGGCUGACGAUGUGAAUGUCAAAGAAGUCUGAGGACACACCGUCACACAUGAGGCUUCAACUUGAUCAAGAUCAAUGAGGAAACCAUGAAGAGACAGAAAUCUGCUGUUUGGGGCUAUAUGAAAGAGCGUAGAGAGACGUGGUGUCACAGCAGGACACUCUCAGACAUCACACAGCUCUCUUUAUUCUGAUUGACCUCAGGAGAACUGCAGUACUGAGAACAACACCGAAGACUCAGAAUGCGUGUGAAUCACAUAGAAACUAAUAUUGUAAUGUUCUUGUCGUCGUAAUGGACUAUCACUACUAUCACUUGUAUCGUGUAUAUCUCAGACCAGUGACAAUGCUUACAUGCAUUUGGAGCUUCAAAAACACAAAAAAGUUGAAUACAUCAAGUUUAUUUCAUUAAGUAUACUUAAGUAAAGUUCAAGUAUAUUUUAAUUAUACUUCAUGUAGCAAGUAUAGAAAAUAUCAGUGUUCUAGUAGUAUACUUGUAAGUGUACUGUUUCAUUACUCCUUGGGACUAAAUUGGCACACUUUCUAGUAUAUAAAAGUUUACUUAAGUAUCCUUCAAGUAUAACAGUAACAAACUUUGAGUACACAACUAGUUUACCUCUGUCUGUAGUGUGUACUGCAAUUAUACUAAAAGUGAACUUAUAGGUACACUGACAGUUUACUAAUUAAAUACUUAGUAGUUUUAUACUGCAAGUAUACUCAUACGUUUUCUUUAAGUGAACUUUACAUCAUACUUUAAGUAAACUACUAUGUCCCUGUUUAGGUUUCAAUGUGUAUAUAUUUUGUUAUAUGAAUAUCUGAACAUACAAAACAUCCAAAGAAAGAACAGGAUAUCUGCUUGUGAACAAAAACAUUAUAUUCUAGCUUCAUGCAUUUUUUUUAACACUUUGAGAGAGUUUCAUAAAAAAAUAAAGAAAUAACAUUUUGAACAAAAAGCUGAAAGAAAAAAGACUAUGAAUGUGAUUCAGAAUGACAAUCAAAUUAUAGAUGGAGUUGAUCAGCACCCCAAAGCUUGACUGUAAUUAUUACAUUUUAUUCCAUCACGUUACAUGUUUACUGCUGUUUCAUGUCAGAUGAUGGUGUUAGAUCAUGUGUUAGUAUCUGUUGUUUCUUUAUUCUUCACUUGUGUCUUUUGGAAAGUCUAUAAUAAUGAAAACAGAUUCUAGGAGUAUAGCUCAAAUAUAUUUAGAUUUAAAUAUAAGCAGAAGUCAAGGAAAUCUCAUUUGAAGUAUAUUUCUGAGAAGUACAUAAAAAGUAAACAAAGAUACUGUCCUAUUUUUAGUUUUAAAAGUAGUAUACCAAGAGCACUCUGGAAUAAAAUUAUUCUUAAGGGUUGGCAUGAAUUUAAGAUGCAUUCAGCAGUUUGGUGCUUUUUUAUAGGUUUAGUUUUACACAUUAAGAAAUAGUGUUUCUGAUGGUACUGCAGCACCUGACAUUACUGCUACAACAGUGAUGCUAACGCUAACUAAACAACUCCUGAACGCACCUUGACCCCG